GGAGAAUUGAGGAAUUAAGAAAAUAAGAAUAAAGAAUUUAAAAUAAAGAAAGAAAUAAAGAAAGAAAGAAUGAAAUACCGUGAAGGUAUAGUAUAGAUACAAUGAAAUGAAUUUCAAAAUAAUAUAACCACAGAUAAUAUAAACCAUAAAAUAGACACCUUCAAGAUGUCGGGUGACAGAAUAUAUACAGAGAUAUAACCUUAACCCUAACCCCUAAUGUGUCAAAACAAGGAUUGUCAACAGGAAGCAAGAACAGUGUAAGAAGACUCGUUAAGAAUGGGAACAAGAACAAGAUUACCUACUAAAAAGCCUGAUAGUCAACUCAGAAAAAGGAAACAAGCAAGAAAAGCACACUGUCACCCUAUUACGACAGAACUAUAAAAUAACAAUACCAGAGAUAGACAUCAUGAAUUAAUUGAAUUAAAGAAUAUCAAAGAAGAAUCAGAAUAUCCAAGGAUAUAACAGGCGACAACCAAGGAAACGACAGUAAAAUAAAAUAAAUAGUGAUAAACAGUGAUAACGCGGCACAAAUAACUAAAUAUAAAAUAUAAGUAUAUUGAAUAUAGAAUAACCGCAUCAAAGCAAACCAUAAAUAUAUUAAUUUAAUCUACAACACUUUGUACCACCAUAAAUAUAAAAUUAAACUAAAUCGUAACAGUAACUUUAAUUCAGUUAAUACAGAAUGAAUGAACAAUAACGGAGUGAAAGAAUGAACGAAUUAUCAGUGAAGUUAUUAAUAAAGAAAUUAAAGAGAAUGAAGUGAAUAGGAAGCGUAAAGUAUAAAGUGAAAGCCACGACCAGCAUAAUGUAAUAAUAUAGGGUAAAGCAACACAGUGUAAUAUAAUGCAAUGUAAUAUAAUAAUGUAAAACAAAUGAUAUAUAAUAAAAUAAAGUAGAAUAUAAAAUACAAGAAGUGGACUCAAAAUAUAACCGUAAAGCUUAUUAACUAAAUACUCUAUUUCUUUACCAAAGUAAAUUAUAUGUUAAAUGGUAAAUGGUGGAUGAUAAGUGAUCGUGUCAAUGCAAAUGUACAUAGAACCAAUUAUUUCAUGACAUUUCAAAAUAAGGAAAUAAACAACAUGUAAAUAAAUCAAAUCAAAUGUAAACUGUGUAAUUCAGUUAAACACUAUGCUACUGCAUAGUGUAAGAAUAAAUCAAUCAAUCAAUCAAUAAGUAAAGUAUUUUAAACUAAUAUUUAAAGUGGUGAAAUUAAACAGAACCCGCGCAGCAUGAAAGCAUUUGAAUAGACAAAACCACUCAUCAUCACAGAAGAAUAGCAAAAUUAAUUAAGAUAAAUCAAAUCAAAUCACCAACCUCAACUGAUCAGAAUAAAUAAUGAAUGAAUAACGAAUAAUGAAUAAGUGAAUGAAUGAAUAAAUGAAUAAAUCAAGGAAGAGAGAAACAACAGAAUACCAGCAAGUACGAGUAAGCAAACCCUAAUGUGCCAGAGCCACGGUGUCAAAACUAGCAUGCAAGGACUAGUUAAAAGGAACGACAUUGAAUAAGAGAACUGAAUUGCAACUGAAAAGGAAAAGAAAAGAAAGGAAACAAGAAACAGCCCACCAUCAUGGAAGAGCAACAUUAUGACCAGAGAGAGACAUCAUGAAUAAAUUGAAUUAACUAAUAUCAAAAGAACAUCAAAACGUCAACGAAUAUCAAGGAUGCACAGGAAAAUCAAGAACCAAAUCAAGAGGCGAUAAUGAAAUAAAAUAAAUAUCAAUAACAGCGAUAACGUGUCAUAAUAAACUAGAAUAUAUAAAUAUAAAUAUAC